CGGCAUAGGUGGUGGAGGAGUUAAGGGAGAGAAAGGAGAAGGUGGUGAUGGCCGCGACUAGCCGGCCGGGGCUGGGUCGGCGGUCGUCGGGGGCGCGCGGCGCAUGAGGUGAGGGGGAGUAGGGCGGCUAGUUUAGCUGAGCUGAGGAGGGCUAGGGUUUGCAUGGUGUAAACCCUAGAGGCUAUAUAUAUACAUAGGGCGUAAUUGCGUAUAAGUCCACCAAACUCAGAUAUUUUAAUUUGAGUCCCUCACGGCGUGAGUUAAACGCACGAACACACCCCCAUGUUCAAUUUCACGCAAAACGGUACAUAAAAUGUAGAGCUUUUCGCAAAAUUACCGUUUACCAUUAAUGACUUUUCCUGGAUUAACGCGCGAUAUCAGGAGAUCCGUCUGUCAGAUUUGCGAAUGGAUCACACCAGUACGAUCAGCACGACUGAGAUAUCAAACUCACAAUUUUG
rnacentral:lncRNA from 1 species